AGCGAAACGGGAAGAGCCCAAACCAACAAGCUUGCUUGUUGGGGUUGUAGGACACUCUAUACGGAGUUACAAAGGACGACAUUAGACGAAUCAUCUGGAAAGAUGAAUCAAAGAAGGUAAUAAUCCUGUAGUCGAAAAUGUUGUCUCUCUUGAGUGGAUCCUGAGUACGACGGAGCACGUGAAAUUCCGUCGGAAUCUGGGAGGACCAUCUCCUAAGGCUAAAUACUCUCUAGUGACCGAUAGUGAACCAGUACCGUGAGGGAAAGGUGAAAAGCACCCCGGAAGGGGAGUGAAAUAGAACCUGAAACCGUGUGCUUACAAGUAGUCAGAGCCCGUUAAUGGGUGAUGGCGUGCCUUUUGUAGAAUGAACCGGCGAGUUACGAUUUGAUGCAAGGUUAAGCAGUAAAUGUGGAGCCGUAGCGAAAGCGAGUCUGAAUAGGGCGUUUAGUAUUUGGUCGUAGACCCGAAACCAGGUGAUCUACCCUUGGUCAGGUUGAAGUUCAGGUAACACUGAAUGGAGGACCGAACCGACUUACGUUGAAAAGUGAGCGGAUGAACUGAGGGUAGCGGAGAAAUUCCAAUCGAACCUGGAGAUAGCUGGUUCUCUCCGAAAUAGCUUUAGGGCUAGCCUCAAGUGAUGAUUAUUGGAGGUAGAGCACUGUUUGGACGAGGGGCCCCUCUCGGGUUACCGAAUUCAGACAAACUCCGAAUGCCAAUUAAUUUAACUUGGGAGUCAGAACAUGGGUGAUAAGGUCCGUGUUCGAAAGGGAAACAGCCCAGACCACCAGCUAAGGUCCCAAAAUAUAUGUUAAGUGGAAAAGGAUGUGGCGUUGCCCAGACAACUAGGAUGUUGGCUUAGAAGCAGCCAUCAUUUAAAGAGUGCGUAAUAGCUCACUAGUCGAGUGACACUGCGCCGAAAAUGUACCGGGGCUAAACAUAUUACCGAAGCUGUGGAUUGUCCUUUGGACAAUGGUAGGAGAGCGUUCUAAGGGCGUUGAAGCAUGAUCGUAAGGACAUGUGGAGCGCUUAGAAGUGAGAAUGCCGGUGUGAGUAGCGAAAGACGGGUGAGAAUCCCGUCCACCGAUUGACUAAGGUUUCCAGAGGAAGGCUCGUCCGCUCU
rnacentral:rRNA from 1 species